CGAGCUCCGGGGAGCGGGGCCAGGGAGGGCAGAUGGAGGCGGGGAAGGGCCAGCCUGGCGCCGGGAUGGAGGUGAGACCCGAGGGCCUGCGAGAGAAACGGUUACAGAAAGAACUAUUGGCAUUUCAAAAUGAUCCACCUCCGGGAAUGACUCUAGAUGAAAAGAGUGUACAAAAUUCAAUUACACAGUGGAUUGUAGACAUGGAAGGUGCUCCAGGAACACUAUAUGAAGGGGAGAAAUUUCAGCUUUUAUUUAAGUUUAGUAGUCGGUAUCCUUUUGAUUCGCCUCAGGUCAUGUUUACUGGAGACAAUAUUCCUGUUCAUCCUCAUGUUUAUAGCAAUGGUCAUAUCUGUUUAUCCAUUCUAACGGAAGACUGGUCUCCAGCUCUCUCAGUGCAAUCUGUUUGUCUUAGCAUUAUUAGCAUGCUUUCCAGCUGCAAAGAAAAGGUCUUUUCUUCUGUUGCAGAGGCGACCUCCAGAUAACUCAUUUUAUGUAAGAACAUGUAACAAGAAUCCAAAGAAAACAAAAUGGUGGUAUCAUGAUGACACAUGUUGAUGCCACCAUUUUGUGAUCCUCGUAGCAGAAGAUAGUCCUACUGAGAAAAUGAGCACUUUGAUCAUUCAGUCUUUGAACUUUAACCUUUGACUGGAAGUGACCUAUAGGCAAUGAAGACUACUUCCUUUGACUGCAUUUUUACUAGUGUGCAUUCUGGGCGCAUGUUGAUCGCUGGUUCAGUCCAUGCAACUGACAUGCUUUUAUUAGUCAUACAGUAUUAAUGCAGGUGUCCAGAAAUGUCAGAAUAAUUCCAUUAUUUUUAUUUUAAGCUUUUGGAAGAAUUCCAGGUCUUCAUAUAUUGUGCAAUAACACUGAGCUCCUUGGCGGUUUUGGUGCAUCCAUUGCCGGCAAUGGACAUUGUACCAGGGAAAGGUUUUGCUCCUGCCACAAAAAAGAUUGACGCAUGACAGAGCUUACGAAAGUUUUGGAUAUAUUUGGAUUAUAAGCAAGGGAUUGACAAUUACCUUAAAUCCAGCCCAUUCUUUUAUAUUCGGAUUCUAUGCACUGUGACCACAAAACUAGCAGCAUGAGUUAACAUGCCUAGCUGAAGGACUGUAAUAAGAUCAUUACAUAUUUAUUGAAUUGUUUAUCUGCUGUCAAAUUGUUUUGACAUGGGCGGCUUUUCAAGUGACAUUGGCAGAGAGGUACAAUGUUAUCCCUAUGGUGAAAUAAAACUACUUUUUGUAUAUAGUUAUUCAUAUCUCUGAAGCAAAGGUAUGAGUAAUUUAGGGUAUGAGUGAUUUAAACAAGAAUUUAUUUUGGAGAUAGAGGAUGGCAGUGAUAUAACUGAACUUGCUGCAGUCCGUAAUUGGGCUUGUAAUUUGUACUUUAGAGCUUUUUCCAAAUAGAUUGCACACUGUUAUUUCCUGCUAGCCAUCAGCAUGAGCCCUACUGCCUACACCAAUAUUUCAUUUAUUUAUGUGUUCAAAAGCAAUCCAUAUAACAUUUUUUGUUUGCAUUCACUGUUUCUUUUGUGUUGUAUGUCAUGUUUGAAUGUUACAAAACAAUAUUUUGAUUGAAAAGCUUUGUCAGAAGAUAUUUUCAUGUAAAUUAUUUCUUUAUCUUGUAAGCAUCAUCUUGUCUUUUAAUCCUGUACUAUAAAAAGAAAAAAAAAAUACAUUUUUGACAGAGGCUUAAAGUUUUCACAAAAAAGUGUGGACCUUCUUAUUUAAGUUUAGACUAAAGUAUAUUUUCUUAACUUGCUUGUCCCAUGCAGCCAUGGCAAUUUUUCCGGGCUUUUACUUCACAAAAAAAGGGGAAAAAGCCUAAAAUCAGACAUUUUUCUGUGGAGCAACAUUUAUUGAAAUGAUAGUUGUUCUCAGCACUCUGUAAUAUUUUGAUACUGCAAUUAGGUUGUCUUUUUAGGAAGCACUUUUAUAAACUUAAUACCUUUACACAUAUGCAAAAUUUCUAUAAUUUUUUUUACUGUUGCCUUAUUGUUGCACUCAAAAAGAAAUUCAAGCAAUUAAUGCAUGAAUGUCUAAAUCAAGUAGCUACUUGAUGUAAAAACAAACAAAAGCAAAAAAAACCCCUAAACCCAAUCCAGAAUGAAUUACUACAGUAACAGAAAAUUGGCUGAAAAGACUGAUUUUUUUUUUUAAUCUGCUGUAUGAUAACUGACAUGUUUUAUAGCCUUGUACAUACUUCUCUGUUACCUAUUGUUUAAAACA